rnacentral:rRNA from 1 species
GAUGAACGCUGGCGGCGUGCCUAAUACAUGCAAGUCGAGCGAAGCGGGGACGGGUGAGUAACACGUGGAUAACCUCCUAUAAGACUGGAAUAACUUCGUGAAACCGGAGCUAAACCGGAUACUUAUAGAUGGAUCUGCGCUGCAUUAGCUAGUUGGUAAGGUAACGGCUUACCAAGGCAACGAUGCAUAGCCGACCUGAGAGGACGACCAGCCACACUGGGACUGAGAAACGGCCCAGACUCCUACGGGAGGCAGCAGUGGGGAAUUUUGGACAAUGGGGGAAACCCUGAGCCAGCCAGCCCGCGGGUGCGAUGAAGGCCUUCGGGUUGUAAAGCACUUUUGGCAGGAAAGCGGUACCUGCAGAAUAAGCACCGGCUAACUACGUGCCAGCAGCCGCGGUAAUAC